rnacentral:rRNA from 1 species
UACGUAGGUGACCAGCGUUGUCCGGAUUUACUGGGCGUAAAGAGCGCGCAGGCGGUCGUUCAAGUCGAGUGUGAAAGCCCCCGGCUCAACUGGGGAGGGUCAUUCGAUACUGAUCGACUUGAAGGCAGGAGAGGGAAGUGGAAUUCCCGGUGUAGUGGUGAAAUGCGUAGAUAUCGGGAGGGACACCGGUGGCGAAGGCGGUUCUCUGGGCCUGUACUGACGCUGAGGAGCGAAAGCGUGGGGAGCGAACAGG